AGAGUUUGAUCCUGGCUCAGAUUGAACGCUGGCGGCAUGCCUUACACAUGCAAGUCGAACGGCAGCGCGGACUUCGGUCUGGCGGCGAGUGGCGAACGGGUGAGUAAUACAUCGGAACGUGCCCUGUUGUGGGGGAUAACUAGUCGAAAGAUUAGCUAAUACCGCAUACGACCUGAGGGUGAAAGCGGGGGACCGUAAGGCCUCGCGCAAUAGGAGCGGCCGAUGUCUGAUUAGCUAGUUGGUGGGGUAAAGGCCCACCAAGGCGACGAUCAGUAGCUGGUCUGAGAGGACGAUCAGCCACACUGGGACUGAGACACGGCCCAGACUCCUACGGGAGGCAGCAGUGGGGAAUUUUGGACAAUGGGGGCAACCCUGAUCCAGCAAUGCCGCGUGUGUGAAGAAGGCCUUCGGGUUGUAAAGCACUUUUGUCCGGAAAGAAAUCGCUCUGGCUAAUACCUGGGGUAGAUGACGGUACCGGAAGAAUAAGCACCGGCUAACUACGUGCCAGCAGCCGCGGUAAUACGUAGGGUGCGAGCGUUAAUCGGAAUUACUGGGCGUAAAGCGUGCGCAGGCGGUUUUGUAAGACAGGCGUGAAAUCCCCGGGCUCAAUCUGGGAAUUGCGCUUGUGACUGCAAGGCUAGAGUGCGUCAGAGGGGGGUAGAAUUCCACGUGUAGCAGUGAAAUGCGUAGAGAUGU
rnacentral:rRNA from 1 species